rnacentral:rRNA from 2 species
GAAUGCUGACAUAAGUAACGAUAAAGCGGGUGAAAAGCCCGCUCGCCGGAAGACCAAGGGUUCCUGUCCAACGUUAAUCGGGGCAGGGUGAGUCGACCCCUAAGGCGAGGCCGAAAGGCGUAGUCGAUGGGAAACGGGUUAAUAUUCCCGUACUUGGUGUUACUGCGAAGGGGGGACGGAGAAGGCUAUGUUGGCCGGGCGACGGUUGUCCCGGUUUAAGCGUGUAGGUGUGUGUUCCAGGUAAAUCCGGUUCACUUUAACACUGAGGCGUGACGACGAGGCACUACGGUGCUGAAGCA